rnacentral:rRNA from 1 species
AUUGAACGCUGGCGGCAGGCCUAACACAUGCAAGUCGAGCGGAUGAAGGGAGCUUGCUCCUGGAUACAGCGGCGGACGGGUGAGUAAUGCCUAGGAAUCUGCCUGGUAGUGGGGGACAACGUUUCGAAAGGAACGCUAAUACCGCAUACGUCCUACGGGAGAAAGCAGGGGACCUUCGGGCCUUGCGCUAUCAGAUGAGCAUAGGUCGGAUUAGCUAGUUGGUGAGGUAAUGGCUCACCAAGGCGACGAUCCGUAACUGGUCUGAGAGGAUGAUCAGUCACACUGGAACUGAGACACGGUCCAGACUCCUACGGGAGGCAGCAGUGGGGAAUAUUGGACAAUGGGCGAAAGCCUGAUCCAGCCAUGCCGCGUGUGUGAAGAAGGUCUUCGGAUUGUAAAGCACUUUAAGUUGGGAGGAAGGGUUGUAGAUUAAUACUCUGCAAUUUUGACGUUACCGACAGAAUAAGCACCGGCUAACUCUGUGCCAGCCGCCGCAGUAAGAC